GGAAAGCUGGCAGAGUGGUCGAAUGCAACGGUUUCGAAAGCCGUCGAUCUUCACGGAUCCGGGGGUUCGAAUCCCUCGCUUUCCG
rnacentral:tRNA from 1 species